AGCCCGGAGCAGGCCGACAUUGCAGACCCUCUGCCCUGCAACCAAUCUGCGAGGAGCGGACCAGACACUGUAACUAAUGCAAUGCCUUAAGACUAUUCUGCUCCCUGCCCAGCCCUUCCAUGCAGCCGAGCCCUUUGGCCAUGGGGAGGGAAGCCUUGCUGUUCCCAAAUCUCUCCCGCCUGGGGAGACAGUGCAACUAUGUCUGCUAGUUUUACCUUGCAAUUGUGGCACCCCGUCUCCCGGAGAAGCGGGCUUCGGGCUUGUCCUGUUCGAAGUUUGAUUUCUCGCAGACCAACAUAGGGCGUGUGGCCUCUCAAGGCCUCCGCGGCACGGU
rnacentral:lncRNA from 1 species